GCGGACAUGGAGACACGGGAUGCUAUUCACUCUGUUGUGGAGAAUAUUCCCGGCAUUUGCCAACCGAAGCCCGAACAAGAAGAGUGUUUGGUUCACAUUUGAAUGGAGAGUUCCUCUGGCACUGCUGGCAAAGGGGAAUGUGCUUUGGAAGCACUUACACCCCAGCAACGGGUCACUUGAGACCCACAGCUGACUGCUGGUUAUGGACUACGGACUACGGACUACUAGUUAAUAAACCUUAUCUGCACAUGGAUCCGCCUCAUCUCGGCUUUGUUAAGCCCAGCAUUACAGAAAGACUGACCAAAGAGUCCAUCAGCCCAUCUCAUUUGGCUCCAUAAAGGCAAACGUACCCUUCGAGGACCAUUCUUUUUUGGACAUUGCAUAUCUUACAGACUUCUUAGACUUCACCCUUAUUUGAUUUCUACUGUAAUGGACUCAAUGAUCAUUUUAAAGACGCUCUAAUCUGUGAUGGUCCUUUAAAUUGGAUCCCCCUUCACUGUGGGGAUGGUUGAGGAUGACCCUUCCCCUAAUUAAUGUUUUGGGGGGUCUAUGGGCCUCAAGCGUGUCUCUCUGUGGAUGUUCCUGCCUUGGUUCCCUUGUUUGCUCCAGCUCUGUGUUUCCUUGUGUAUAAUUGUUUGAUUUACUUUAUUUAGUUA